rnacentral:rRNA from 1 species
GACGAACGCUGGCGGCGUGCUUAACACAUGCAAGUCGAACGGAAAGGCCCUGCUUUUGUGGGGUGCUCGAGUGGCGAACGGGUGAGUAACACGUGAGUAACCUGCCCUUGACUUUGGGAUAACUUCAGGAAACUGGGGCUAAUACCGGAUAGGAGCUCCUGCUGCAUGGUGGGGGUUGGAAAGUUUCGGCGGUUGGGGAUGGACUCGCGGCUUAUCAGCUUGUUGGUGGGGUAGUGGCUUACCAAGGCUUUGACGGGUAGCCGGCCUGAGAGGGUGACCGGCCACAUUGGGACUGAGAUGCGGCCCAGACUCCUACGGGAGGCAGGAGUGGGGAAUAUUGCACAAAGGGCGGAAGCCUGAUGCAGCAACGCCGCGUGCGGGAUGACGGCCUUCGGGUUGUAAACCGCUUUCGCCUGUGACGAAGCGUGAGUGACGGUAAUGGGUAAAGAAGCACCGGCUAACUACGU